rnacentral:lncRNA from 1 species
CAAGGAGCACACAGAAACUGGUGGCCACGUCUUACAGCUGGGGCAGCUUCUGAUGGCUCCCUGUUUUGGGUGGAGACCACUUGGUCUGAGGCUGAAUUUGCUUUAGAUUUUGGGGCUUGGUUCAUGUUGCAGGAACAGCUGAAGCAGUCUAAGUUGAACCUGCCACAAACCCUGCCUUUUCCAGAGGUCUAAUUAAAAAUACUUGCCGCUGAUGAGGAGAGCUGCUAAGCAUACAAGGUUGUAUUUGAUUACCUUCCCUUCAAGCUGCCCUGGUUGUGUAGUGCUCCACCCUGUGGUCAUCACUCAUGCCAAAGGCGCACAGCAAGAUGGCCAGGAGAGGAAAUCGAGCUGCAGAGGAGCUCUGCUGUUCUUCUGUGCCCUUCUUCAUUGCUCCCAAACUCUGGAGU